rnacentral:misc_RNA from 1 species
AAACGGGACAGCCAGGCCAU